GCAAGACCUGCAGGCGAAGCUGCAGCUGCGCUACCAGGAGAUCGCCAAGCGGUGAGCAGGCCCUGCUUGCUGCCCUCAUCCUGUCAUUCUUCCACCUAACCCAGAUUCAAGGCUGGUCAUAGUGGUACAACCCUUAAUCCCAGCACUCAGGAAACAGGCAGGCAGAUUUCUGUGAGUUCAAGGCCUACUUGAUCUACAUGGACCCAGCCACCUCCGAAGCUCCCUGUGGGCCCCAGUCACAAGCUGUCCAACAAUUACUACUGUACUCGUGAUGGCCGCCGGGAAGUUGUGCCUCCCUCAAUCAUCAUGUCCUCACAAAAGGCCCUGGUGUCGGGCAAGACAGCUGAGAGUUCUGCUGUGGCAGCCACUAAGAGGGCAGUGACACCUGCUCCUCCCAUGAAGAGGUGGGAGCUGUCAAGGGACCAGCCGUACCUGUGACCCUGAGUUGGCUACCUUGCUAUGUUUCCAGGGCCACAUGACUGCUUUUCCUCCUUGGAUUCCUUCUGGGGAGAGUGUGACCUAAUUUAUAACAAAUACAUUAAGUACCACAUUAUUUCCAAUCUGUCUUUUCUUGGUAUUUAUUGAUUGGAUUUGAUCUGUUAUUACUGUAUGUGUUGGGGGUGUGAGUACAUGCUACAGCAUGUGUGGAUGUGAGAAGAUAACUUUGGGAAUUGGUUUUCCCCUUCCACUUGUUGAGGCAGGGUCUUUUGUUUUUGGUAUCCUGUGUACUCCAGGUUAGUUGGCCCAAGAAUGUCUACAUGAGGCUGCUGUCUUUGCCUCCCAGCCUGCU
rnacentral:lncRNA from 1 species